AUUGAACGCUGGCGGCAUGCCUUACACAUGCAAGUCGAACGGCAGCACGGGUGCUUGCACCUGGUGGCGAGUGGCGAACGGGUGAGUAAUACAUCGGAACAUGUCCUGUAGUGGGGGAUAGCCCGGCGAAAGCCGGAUUAAUACCGCAUACGAUCUACGGAUGAAAGCGGGGGACCUUCGGGCCUCGCGCUAUAGGGUUGGCCGAUGGCUGAUUAGCUAGUUGGUGGGGUAAAGGCCUACCAAGGCGACGAUCAGUAGCUGGUCUGAGAGGACGACCAGCCACACUGGGACUGAGACACGGCCCAGAGUCCUACGGGAGGCAGCAGUGGGGAAUUUUGGACAAUGGGCGAAAGCCUUAUCCAGCAAUGCCGCGUGUGUGAAGAAGGCCUUCGGGUUGUAAAGCACUUUUGUCCGGAAAGAAAUCCUUGGCCCUAAUACGGUCGGGGGAUGACGGUACCGGAAGAAUAAGCACCGGCUAACUACGUG
rnacentral:rRNA from 1 species